UGGGCUCGUCCAUGCUGAAAGAAGCGUUUGGCAUGCCUGGAAAAGUACAUCAAAGCACACCCCAUCUGGCUGACUGCACUACCUCAAGAAAACUGCCUUUCUCCCAUCUGCAAGUUCCUAAGAAGUUACUUUAUGAAGCAAGCCAGCAGGGCGUACGUGUUAGGCAUGGCAGCAUGGAGAACAAAUAAACAUGAGUAUUUGGUGCAAGAUGCA
rnacentral:lncRNA from 1 species